UACGGAGGGAGCUAGCGUUGUUCGGAAUUACUGGGCGUAAAGCGUAUGUAGGCGGUUAUUCAAGUCAGAGGUGAAAGCCCGGGGCUCAACCCCGGAACGGCCUUUGAAACUAGGUAGCUAGAGUCUUGGAGAGGUUAGUGGAAUUCCGAGUGUAGAGGUGAAAUUCGUAGAUAUUCGGAAGAACACCAGUGGCGAAGGCGACUAACUGGACAAGUACUGACGCUGAGGUACGAAAGCGUGGGGAGCAAACAGG
rnacentral:rRNA from 1 species